rnacentral:rRNA from 1 species
UUGAUCCUGGCUCAGAAUCAACGCUGGCGGCGCGCUUAACACAUGCAAGUCGCACGAGAAAGUGGAGCAAUCCAUGAGUACAGUGGCGUACGGGUGAGUUACACGUGGAUCAUCUACCUUUUAGUGGGGAAUACCCCCGGGAAACUGGGUAUAAUACCGCAUAAUCUCGUAAGAGGAAAGCAGCAAUGCGCUGAAAGAGUAGUCCGCGGCUGAUUAGCUAGUUGGUGAGGUAAUGGCUCACCAAGGCGAUGAUCGGUAGCCGGCCUGAGAGGGCACACGGCCACACUGGCACUGAAACAUGGGCCAGACUCCUACGGGAGGCAGCAGUGGGGAAUCUUGCACAAUGGAGUAAACUCUGAUGCAGCGACGCCGCGUGAGCGAUGAAGCCCUUCGGGGUGUUAAGCUCUUUCGACGGGAACGAUAAUGACGGUACCCGAAGAAGAAGCUGCUGCUAACUACGUGCCAGCAGCCGCGGUAAUU